rnacentral:tRNA from 1 species
GCGGACGUAGCUCAGUUGGUAGAGCAUCAGCUUCCCAAGCUGAGGGUCGCGGGUUCGAUCCCCGUCGUCCGCUCCA